AGGGGUGUAGCUCAAUUGGUAGAGUAGCGGACUCCAAAUCCGUUGGUUGCGGGUUCGAUCCCUGCCACCCCUGCCA
rnacentral:tRNA from 1 species